AUUGAACGCUGGCGGCAUGCCUUACACAUGCAAGUCGAACGGUAACAGGUCUUCGGAUGCUGACGAGUGGCGAACGGGUGAGUAAUACAUCGGAACGUGCCCGAUCGUGGGGGAUAACGAAGCGAAAGCUUUGCUAAUACCGCAUAAGAUCUACGGAAGAAAGCAGGGGACCGCAAGGCCUUGCGCGAACGGAGCGGCCGAUGGCAGAUUAGGUAGUUGGUGGGAUAAAAGCUUACCAAGCACACGAUCUGUAGCUGGUCUGAGAGGACGACCAGCCACACUGGGACUGAGACACGGCCCAGACUCCUACGGGAGGCAGCAGUGGGGAAUUUUGGACAAUGGGCGAAAGCCUGAUCCAGCCAUGCCGCGUGCAGGAUGAAGGCCUUCGGGUUGUAAACUGCUUUUGUACGGAACGAAAAGACUCUUUCUAAUAAAGAGGGUCCAUGACGGUACCGUAAGAAUAAGCACCGGCUAACUACGUGCCAGCAGCCGCGGUAAGAC
rnacentral:rRNA from 1 species